CACACACACACACACACUCACACACACACACACUCAUUCACACACACACACACACUCACACGCUCGCACACAUACACACACACACACACACACACACACACACACACACACACACUCAUUCACACACACACACACGCACACACUCACACACUCAUUCACGCACACACACACACACACACACACACACACACACACACACACUCUCUCACACAGCACCUCCCUCAUGUCUUUUGAACUUAAAUAAACUUUCAUGGAAACUGAGAGUGAGACCAGUUCUGCUACCCAGAACAGUCAAUGACCUUUUUCCUAAGAUAGAUGAAUAGAUAGAUUCCCCAUUUUGUUAUUAUGGUGCAUCAUUGUAAAACAUUUGCUUAAAAUUAGAUUAACCAAAACAAAGCGUCCUUUCAGUCUGAACGACAGCAGCUACAAACUGUGAGGAUGCUCAUGUUUCAUCUUUUCUUAGGGAGUCUAACCAUGUCAAAUGUAAUAGGGAUAGGGGAGUUGAUGAAUCAAUUUAAAAACAAUGCAUCAUGUUUUUGUUUUUUUUAAGUGAUUAUUGGUAUUUAUUGAUCUGCGAAGCUUCUCAGGCAGAGUGAGAUUUUCUCUCCUGUCGGGCGAUUUUUCCGCCUGAACCAAAGCUGCUCUGUCCUUGUUGGUGUUUGUUUUUUUAAAACAGUGGCCCGGUUCGAGUUUGCACAUCAUGAAACAACUCAAAUGUGUUACGCAGAUUGUGACUUUACAGUGUUUAACUGAAGGCAUUUUUUGUAACAUUGGUGUCACUGGACGGACUUGAAAAUGAGACGUGCAUGAAAUCAGAGGUUUGGUUUGUGCAAUUAAAGAUUGAACUGUAAUUUCAGGUAGACAAAGAGUUUUGAUUAUCAUUAUUGAUCACGGUGUCUGCAAAAUUAACUCUCGGUAAUAAUCAUUUAAUAAUGAAAAUACUUUCUCUUUUCUUUUUUUUUUAACUGAUUAAUUAACUAUUUAAUUUCCUUUCAGUAUAACUUGAUGCACACUGAGCAUCUCACUGCAGCAAUAUAAAGUUGUAAUGUUCUUUAUUUUGUGAUUUCUCUUCUCAUUUAUUUUGUCGGGACAACGCAAGUUAUUUGAAUUUUUGUAGAAGUGCCAGUUGUAGCCUGUGAGCUUGUUUUUUCAGCUGUAGUCCCUGUAUAUGUUGGUAAGGGGAUAGUGAGGUUAUAUUCUAAUAAUAUGGCUUUUUAAACAUUAUUUUAAAUGUACUCUGUUUUGCCUUCUUUUGACAAAUUUAAAACACUGUUGCAGUAUUUAGUCUGGAGAAAAAGCCCAAGAGAGCCCUGCGGGGGCUGGUGUGUUCUCUCCCACAGACAAACUAGUAUCAAUAAUUGUCUGUCCUUUGGUUUUUGGUUUAUAGAGAAAACUAACUCUUACUGAUGAGAUAAGUCUGUAGUAUGUUGGGAACCCAAAGCUGCUGUUUUUCUCCAGCGGGGAGUGAAAUUACCACCAGUUUGGUCGGUAGCGAAAUCUGAAGUCCUGAGAUAUAUAUAAAGUAAAGCUGUUUUACACGGAUUGACCAGAAAUUCAAAUCAUUACCUUUUUUUAAAUGUCUGCUGCAGUAGUUGUGUGUUGAACGCUUUGGUGCUGUACUUUGUAGAGAUGACGUCAGCAUCAAUUUAAAACUAUACACUUCAUAAAGGUAGUAAUAAUCUACCGGAAUGUUUUCAGUCUGUUUUUAACUAUUAUAAAAUCCUCAAAACUUAAUCACAAACAUUUUUCUCAUUAACGUUGAAUUAAACCACAGUGCAUUGAAAAGUGUUGCUCCUCCAUCUCUGCAGCUCUCUGGAGCCUCUUUUUUGUUUCUUUUGGGAGCUGAUUAUCUGGUUUCGUCCCGUACGGUUCAACGUUCCUGCAGAGUGGAGCACUUAACAGCUAAAGCACCAGAUAUUUAGAAGCAGCUGGUGAAAGUUUAUAAGAAGAGUGGCCAGAAAACUUUUAGAUAUUUAUUAUUUCACUCUAAUCUUACUAGUUUCUACUGCUGUUGUAUGAAGAUGAUGCUGCUUUAUGAGUACCUGUCCAGAUAAGUUACUGAGUACUAAGCAUCGGCAGACGGUCAAAGAGAUGCCCACACAAGACUUCAACUACAGAACGUUUUUCAAGCUGCUUUGUUCUUGCAUUUGUAUCUACAACAGGUAGUUCCUUGAUCACGUAAAAAGCCGAUUGUCACACUGUAGCCUUGUGUAGAUUUUGAAAAUAUCAAAUAGGGAAGUUUAACCCCCUUAUAUCAGCACAAGUGCUUUUAGAAACAGACGAUUUCUAAUCAAAAUUAGCUGAUAAUUGGCAUUUUAAUACAAAUAGCCUUUUUAUGGCUAAAAAUAAAAUCCACACUUUGUCUGCAUAUUUGGUGCAAUACAAUCAGGUGAAAUGUGACAUAUCGUGCACCCCUGGACAUCCACACACAACUUAAAGUAUUCAACAAAGAAAUGACACAAUGUUUUUCUUUUUUUUUAUAUAUAUAUAGUUUAGGAAUUAAAUAUUCACAUGUAACCUGCAUUUCAGAGUUUAUUCAUUUCCUUAAAUAUCUGUGAUUAUCGACAGAACUUUGGACGGUAACAGAAGGUGAAGCUGAUGACUGUAAUCAACACGUGGAUGCAUGUUUUUGCCAGAUUUAAUUGGGAGAAAGGUCACAUUUUAACCUCCUGUGGUUAAUCACACUGUCCACUGCUGCAGCUAAUGUUUUUAAUGUCUUUCCUCAUGUUGCCAAAAGCAGAGUAUAUAACCUUUCUGAUGCACCACAGGAUGGAGGCCUUGUUUGCAGGUCGAUACGAUGUAAAAAAAAAAUUAAAUAAACCAGAAACUACAACAUGUCGGACACGUGUUGUAGUUUCUGAAUUUCCUCAUGAUUUAGUCUUUCAGUGUCCUGCUGGCUGUUUGUUUCUGUACAGUGAGCGAACUGGGACAAACGGUUGGUUUGUUGGUCCUCUCCUCUAAAAGCUUUGAACUGGGAUGUAAAUGUACAUGAAUGGAGGACGGCAGGAGGGAGGGAGGGAGGGAGAGAGAGGUAACUUUGUAAAACUUGUAUAAUUAUUAUUUUUGUGCGUCUUUAAUGGAUCUUGAGACAGAAUUUUUACUUAACCGAUGUUUAUAGAUUUUUAUUUAUGGUGUCAAGGUGCAAAAAUGUUGUACAGAGGUGCAGCUAUGCACAGUCUUGUCUGCUUAUGUUUAGUAAAUGCUAUUUUUAAAUGUUGGGGGGAAAAAUAAAUGCAUUAUGGAAUACUGAACAUAUUGAAUGUCUUAAUUGUAUUCAUGUAAACACCAGGUUAUACUUACAUUAUUAUGUGUAUAGCUUUUUUAAAUAAGCUUUUAAUGCAGAAAACAUGGAUAUUUGUUUUGUUUUUAGUCACUUUUAAGACUUUUACAUUGCACUCACGCCUAUUUUGUGUGUAAUUUAAGGGUUCAACACGGUACUUUUAGUCUUCAGGUUCAUCAAACACUUCAAGAUUUGAAUAUCACUGUAACAAUCAGCCUGGAUGUGUAAGAGGAACAUGUGGAGGCAAAUGUAGAGUAUAACUUUAAUUAAUAAACAGGUUUAUGUACAUAGUCAAAGCUCAAGAGUGAAAGGAGGCAAGAACCACAGCUCUUUCUCCCUGUGAAUAAUGGAUUCAUAUUCAUCAGGUUCUCAGAAACCAGACAACAACUGGAUAAUGAGAUGUUACCUUGUGACUGCUAAAUGUGUAAGAAGUUAAUUAGCAGCUUGUUUUAGAGUUAAUCUGCCCCCUAGUGGCCAAGAAACAUUUAAUGCAGCAUCAGUUUCAGCUGUCCUGAGAUCAGAGUGGACAAAAUGAAUGUGAGCAUUUUUUCUAAAACAGCUGCUAAAGAUUUCACGAGUACUUGAUAUUGAUUGCUUUAAACGUUAACAAGAAAUCCUGAGUAAAUCAUGUAUCACCAUCUCAUUCUAGUCUUUCAUCAACAGAGGUUCCCAGUCAAGUGCAUAUUUUCUUACUUUCCAGAUAUCUGAAAAGCUCUGGGGGUGACAUUUGACCAAGAUAUUGGAAAGAAAGUCCUGCAGAUGGAGUUCGGUCACGAUUAUGCUCAGCACACAGCUUUGUCCCAAUGACUGUAAAUGGCUGUGAGUAACAACAGACGGCUGAUGGACAGCGUUGAAUGUGAACACACGGUGCACUUAAGUCUGCUCCGACUCUCCAGCCAUCACACAUUCAUUACAGCGUGACUUAUGUUUACAGUGACGUGCUGCAGCGAGGGGUCUCUGUCUGCAGCUGACCUUAAAAGACAAAACACAACACCUCUCUGAGAGGUAAACCACCAACCCGCUCGUCUCUGCUGCAGACAAAAGGCAACUCUAAAGACAACAAACCACUUAAGUGAUGCCAAGGCUUGGAAAGUCCAACACUGACUGGAAUGUGCUUCAGUUUACGGUGAAUCAUGGGGAUGUACAAGCCGUCCCCUGUACAGUUUAUAGUUUUCUUUUAAUGUCGUAAAGGAAAUUCAUUUAUUGCAAAUGCUUUUAAAAUGUAUUAUCUCUGUCUGUGGUCUCUGUUGUAGGCUGGAGCUAUAAAAGUGUACGCUGAUUUUAGUGUAUGAGUAAGCUGCCAAACAGUCACAGUAUAACCCUAAAUGGUCAGUAUAAAGGAUUUUCUUUGUGUCUAUGACUCUCAAUGUAUGCAUCAGCACUUAAACUCACAGGCUAAUGUAAAAGAGUAACUCUCAAAACAAUAAAUGUUAAAACACUGAACAAUA